rnacentral:pre_miRNA from 1 species
UUGAUCUAUCUCCGUUCCAGAAUAGAUGACCAACUUUAUACUAAAAUUAGUACAAAGUUGGGUUAUCUAUUUUAGAACGGAAGGAGUAC